rnacentral:rRNA from 1 species
UACGAAGGGGGCUAGCGUUGCUCGGAAUUACUGGGCGUAAAGCGCACGUAGGCGGCUUCUUAAGUCGGUGGUGAAAUCCUGGAGCUCAACUCCAGAACUGCCUUCGAUACUGGGAGCUCGAGUCCGGGAGAGGUGAGUGGAACUGCGAGUGUAGAGGUGAAAUUCGUAGAUAUUCGCAAGAACACCAGUGGCGAAGGCGGCUCACUGGCCCGGUACUGACGCUGAGGUGCGAAAAGCGUGGGGAGCAAACAGG